UGGGGANNNUUNGNNCAAUGGGGGGAACCCUGACGCAGCCAUGCCGCGUGAAUGAAGAAGGCCUUAGGGUUGUAAAGUUCUUUCGGUAUUGAGGAAGGUUGAUGUGUUAAUAGCACAUCAAAUUGACGUUAAAUACAGAAGAAGCACCGGCUAACUCCGCGCCAGCAGCCGCGGUAAUACGGAGGGUGCGAGCGUUAAUCGGAAUAACUGGGCGUAAAGGGCACGCAGGCGGUUAUUUAAGUGAGGUGUGAAAGCCCCGGGCUUAACCUAGGAAUUGCAUUUCAGACUGGGUAACUAGAGUACUUUAGGGAGGGGUAGAAUUCCACGUGUAGCGGUGAAAUGCGUAGAGAUGUGGAGGAAUACCGAAGGCGAAGGCAGCCCCUUGGGAAUGUACUGACGCUCAUGUGCGAAAGCGUGGGGAGCAAACAGGAUUAGAUACCCUGGUAGUCCACGCUGUAAACGCUGUCGAUUUGGGGGUUGGGGUUUAACUCUGGCGCCCGUAGCUAACGUGAUAAAUCGACCGCCUGGGGAGUACGGCCGCAAGGUUA
rnacentral:rRNA from 1 species